rnacentral:rRNA from 1 species
AGAGUUUGAUCCUGGCUCAGAUUGAACGCUGGCGGCAGGCUUAACACAUGCAAGUCGAGCGGGGAAAUGUAGCUUGCUACAUUACCUAGCGGCGGACGGGUGAGUAAUGCUUAGGAAUCUGCCUAUUAGUGGGGGACAACAUUUCGAAAGGAAUGCUAAUACCGCAUACGCCCUACGGGGGAAAGCAGGGGAUCUUCGGACCUUGCGCUAAUAGAUGAGCCUAAGUCGGAUUAGCUAGUUGGUGGGGUAAAGGCCUACCAAGGCGACGAUCUGUAGCGGGUCUGAGAGGAUGAUCCGCCACACUGGGACUGAGACACGGCCCAGACUCCUACGGGAGGCAGCAGUGGGGAAUAUUGGACAAUGGGGGGAACCCUGAUCCAGCCAUGCCGCGUGUGUGAAGAAGGCCUUUUGGUUGUAAAGCACUUUAAGCGAGGAGGAGGCUACCUAGAUUAAUACUCUGGGAUAGUGGACGUUACUCGCAGAAUAAGCACCGGCUAACUCUGUGCCAGCAGCCGCGGUAAUACAGAGGGUGCAAGCGUUAAUCGGAUUUACUGGGCGUAAAGCGUGCGUAGGUGGCCAAUUAAGUCAAAUGUGAAAUCCCCGAGCUUAACUUGGGAAUUGCAUUCGAUACUGGUUGGCUAGAGUAUGGGAGAGGAUGGUAGAAUUCCAGGUGUAGCGGUGAAAUGCGUAGAGAUCUGGAGGAAUACCGAUGGCGAAGGCAGCCAUCUGGCCUAAUACUGACACUGAGGUACGAAAGCAUGGGGAGCAAACAGGAUUAGAUACCCUGGUAGUCCAUGCCGUAAACGAUGUCUACUAGCCGUUGGGGUCUUUGAGACUUUAGUGGCGCAGCUAACGCGAUAAGUAGACCGCCUGGGGAGUACGGUCGCAAGACUAAAACUCAAAUGAAUUGACGG